rnacentral:rRNA from 1 species
AGCUUAUACAGGUGUUGCAUGGCUGUCGUCAGCUCGUGUCGUGAGAUGUUCGGUUAAGUCCGCUAACGAGCGCAACCCUCGCCGUAUGUUACAAGUGUCAUACGGGACUGCCGGUAAAAAGCCGGAGGAAGGUGAGGAUGAUGUCAAGUCAGCAUGACCUUUAUAUCCAGGGCUACACACACGCUACAAUGGUCUGUACAAUUGGUUGCCAAGCCGCGAGGCGGAGCCAAUCCGUAAAGCAGGCCUCAGUUCAGAUUGCAGUCUGCAACUCGACUGCAUGAAGUUGGAAUCGCUAGUAAUCGCAGAUCAGCACGCUGCGGUGAAUAAGUUCUCGGGUUUU